rnacentral:rRNA from 1 species
UAGGGAAUCUUCCACAAUGGACGCAAGUCUGAUGGAGCAACGCCGCGUGAGUGAAGAAGGUUUUCGGACCGUAAAGCUCUGUUGUUGGUGAAGAAGGAUAGAGGUAGUAACUGGCCUUUAUUUGACGGUAAUCAACCAGAAAGUCACGGCUAACUACGUGCCAGCAGCCGCGGUAAUACGUAGGUGGCAAGCGUUGUCCGGAUUUAUUGGGCGUAAAGCGAGCGCAGGCGGAAGAAUAAGUCUGAUGUGAAAGCCCUCGGCUUAACCGGGAAUUGCAUCGGAAACUGUUUUCUUGAGUGCAG